GAGAGUUUGAUCCUGGCUCAGGACGAACGCUGGCGGCGUGCCUAAUACAUGCAAGUCGAGCGGACAGAUGGGAGCUUGCUCCCUGAUGUUAGCGGCGGACGGGUGAGUAACACGUGGGUAACCUGCCUGUAAGACUGGGAUAACUCCGGGAAACCGGGGCUAAUACCGGAUGGUUGUCUGGACCGCAUGGUUCAGACAUAAAAGGUGGCUUCGGCUACCACUUACAGAUGGACCCGCGGCGCAUUAGCUAGUUGGUGAGGUAACGGCUCACCAAGGCGACGAUGCGUAGCCGACCUGAGAGGGUGAUCGGCCACACUGGGACUGAGACACGGCCCAGACUCCUACGGGAGGCAGCAGUAGGGAAUCUUCCGCAAUGGACGAAAGUCUGACGGAGCAACGCCGCGUGAGUGAUGAAGGUUUUCGGAUCGUAAAGCUCUGUUGUUAGGGAAGAACAAGUGCCGUUCAAAUAGGGCGGCACCUUGACGGUACCUAACCAGAAAGCCACGGCUAACUACGUGCCAGCAGCCGCGGUAAUACGUAGGUGGCAAGCGUUGUCCGGAAUUAUUGGGCGUAAAGGGCUCGCAGGCGGUUUCUUAAGUCUGAUGUGAAAGCCCCCGGCUCAACCGGGGAGGGUCAUUGGAAACUGGGGAACUUGAGUGCAGAAGAGGAGAGUGGAAUUCCACGUGUAGCGGUGAAAUGCGUAGAGAUGUGGAGGAACACCAGUGGC
rnacentral:rRNA from 1 species